rnacentral:lncRNA from 1 species
UCGAUCAUGAGCUUUGUUCACCGCAGUGUUGAAUGCGCAAUCCAUUUCCACCAUCUUAACCUUCUUUGCUUGUACCUCUUCCUCGGCUGCAUCUGCUCACUGAGAAGCCUUCUCAUAAGCAUCUUCCGCUCUGGCUCGUUUAGCAGAUUCCUCUUUCAGUUCAUUCAUCAACUCCUCUAUUUCCUCAGACUUCUGCUCGG